rnacentral:rRNA from 1 species
AGUGGGUGGUAAAUUCCAUCUAAAGCUAAAUAUGGGUGGGAGACCGAUAGCGAACAAGUACCGUGAGGGAAAGAUGAAAAGAACUUUGAAAAGAGAGUCAAACAGUGCUUGAAAUUGCUGAAAGGGAACCGAAGUGGACCAGUGUUGGCGCUGGGAGUACUUCCUCUGGGCUCUGGCCCAGGGGCGCUGCGACCUGCUUGCCUAGUCAGGGUCGGUUCUGUGACCGCGGGACCUGUUUGGCCAGGAGGUAGGGUGCUUGCAUCUGAAACUGGCCAUCUUCUGUCGCUGUCUGGACCGAGGUACUGCGCCUUUACGGGCGCGAGGACCCUGACGAAAUGGUCCUCUUUACCCCGUCUUGAAACACGGACC